CUUGACCGAGCCGAGCCAGAGCGGCCGGUCCGCCGGCCGGUCGUGCCCGUACGUGGCGAUCAGCGCCUCCGCCUC
rnacentral:antisense_RNA from 1 species